rnacentral:rRNA from 1 species
CCUACGGGGGGCAGCAGUGAGGAAUAUUGGUCAAUGGCCGGAAGGCUGAACCAGCCAUGCCGCGUGAAGGUCAGUGCCCUAUGGGCGUUAAACUUCUUUUGUGCGGGAGCAAUAAUGGUCACGUGUGGCCAGACGAGAGUACCGUACGAAUAAGCAUCGGCUAACUCCGUGCCAGCAGCCGCGGUAAUAAGGGGGAUGCAAGCGUUAUCCGGAUUUAAUGGGUUUAAAGGGUGCGUAUGCUGUGAGGUAAGUCAGCGGUGAAAUGCCCCCGCGCAAGGGGGUGAAGGUCCAUUGAUACGGCCUUGCUGGAAUGCGGAUGCCGUGGGAGGAAUGUGUGGUGUAGCGGUGAAAUGCAUAGAUAUCACACAGAACACCGAUUGCGAAGGCAUCUCACGAAUCCGCGAUUGACGCUGAUGCACGAAAGCGUGGGUAUCAAACAGGAUUAGAUACCCGAGUAGUC